UGUUAAAAAUUUCAUCAAAUUCUACUGUUAAAAACUGACAUGGCUAACAGAAUAAUCGGACAUUUGCACAUAGUGUGCUAUGUUUUCCUCAAGCUAGCAUACAAGGACUGAUUUUAACAGUAGAAAUGGAUGAAAUUUUUAGCA
rfam:Gossypium arboreum cultivar AKA8401 contig_49247_1, whole genome shotgun sequence.